rnacentral:rRNA from 1 species
AACAAGGUCUCCGUUGGUGAACCAGCGGAGGGAUCAUUAUCGAGUUAUUCAACUCCCAAACCCUAUGUGAACUUACCACUUGUUGCUUCGGCGCGCGCUUCGGCGCCGCCGAGGACACUUAAACUCUUUGUUUUUAUAAGCAUUUCUGAGUGGCCGAAAGGCAAAAAUACAAAUGAAUCAAAACUUUCAACAACGGAUCUCUUGGUUCUGGCAUCGAUGAAGAACGCAGCGAAAUGCGAUAAGUAAUGUGAAUUGCAGAAUUCAGUGAAUCAUCGAAUCUUUGAACGCACAUUGCGCCCGCCAGCAUUCUGGCGGGCAUGCCUGUUCGAGCGUCAUUUCAACCCUCGAGCCCGACUCUUUUGAGGACGGCUCGGCGUUGGGGGACGGCAGACUCCCCCCGGCAUCUCGCCGGGGACGCCGCCCCCGAAAUCUAGUGGCGGCCCUCCGAGGCGACCUCUGCGUAGUAACUUGUUCUCGCACCGGAAAGCUCAGAGCGGCCACGCCGUAAAACCCAACUUUUUUCAGGUUGACCUCGAAUCAGGUAGGACUACCCGCUGAACUUAAGCAUAUCAAUA